rnacentral:tRNA from 1 species
AAGCCCCGGGCCAAUCUAUUAGCCUUUUUUGAUUUGCAGUCUAAAAAAUCUAAGGGCU